CUCCACUCACUCUGGAGUUUGGGGGCCUUGGAAUAAUCAGGGUUUAGCCUAUCAUGGCAGAUUUGGAAGUCCAGAUCAUACUACUGAUUACAGCAAGGGACAAAGCAGUGGCACAAGGAAUAAAGACAAAAAUUGUUCCAUUUAUCACAAUGAAACUGUGGAACUUUCCUAUCUCGGCUCAUCUAUCUACUAUGGAGGCCAAGAAAAUUAUUCUCCAAGGAACAAAACCACCCAGUCUCCCCCAUAUUUCAAAUUGGAUGGGGGACAUGAUGAUCGUAAUGGAAACGAUUCUAGUGAUUCUGCUUCAAGAGGAAAUUGGUGGAAGGGUAUGA